rnacentral:rRNA from 1 species
AGACACGGCCCAGACUCCUACGGGAGGCAGCAGUAGGGAAUUUUCGGCAAUGGGGGCAACCCUGACCGAGCAACGCCGCGUGAGUGAUGAAGGUCUUCGGAUUGUAAAGCUCUGUUGUAAGGGAAGAACGGCAUCUAGAGAAUAGGUGAGUGACGGUACCUUACCAGAAAGCUACGGCUAACUACGUGCCAGCAGCCGCGGUAAUACGUAGGUAGCGAGCGUUAUCCGGAAUUAUUGGGCGUAAAGGGUGCGUAGGCGGCCUGUUAAGUUUAUGGUGAAAGCGUGGGGCUCAACCCCAUAAAGCCAUAGAUACUGGCAGGCUAGAGUACUGGAGAGGGUAGUGGAAUUCCAUGUGUAGCGGUAAAAUGCGUAGAUAUAUGGAGGAACACCGGUGGCGAAGGCGGCUACCUAGACAGAGACUGACGCUGAGGCACGAAAGCGUGGGGAGCAAAUAGGAUUAGAUACCCUAGUAGUCCACGCUGUAAACGAUGAAUGCUAGGUAUCGGGGCGACCCGGUGCCGAAACUAACGCGAUAAGCAUUCCGCCUGUGGAGUAUGCACGCAAGUGUGAAACAUAAAGGAAUUGACGGGGGCCCGCACAAGCGGUGGAGUAUGUGGUUUAAUUCGACGCAACGCGAAGAACCUUACCAGGCCUUGACAUCCCUUGCAAAAUCCUGGAGACAGGAGGGAGGUUAUCAAGGAGACAGGUGGUGCAUGGUUGUCGUCAGCUCGUGUCGUGAGAUGUUGGGUUAAGUCCCGCAACGAGCGCAACCCUUGUGAUAUGUUACUAACAUUGAGUUGAGGACUCAUAUCAGACUGCCGGUGAUAAACCGGAGGAAGGUGGGGAUGACGUCAAAUCAUCAUGCCCCUUAUGGCCUGGGCUACACACGUACUACAAUGGCUAUUACAACGUGCAGCGACAGCGCAAGCUGAAGCGAAUCACUGAAAGAUAGUCUCAGUUCGGAUUGAGGUCUGCAACCCGACCUCAUGAAGUUGGAAUCGCUAGUAAUCGCGGAUCAGCAUGCCGCGGUGAAUACGUUCUCGGGCCUUGUACACACCGCCCGUCAUACCAUGAGAGCUGGCAAUACCCGAAGCCGGUGGCCUAACCGCAAGGAAGGAGCCGUCGAAGGUAGGGCUGGUGAUUGGGGUCAAGUCGUAACAAGGUAUCCCUACGAGAACGUGGGGAUG